rnacentral:rRNA from 1 species
CUGCUCAGUAACACGUAGCUAAUCUACCCUUAGGCCUUGAAUAACCACGGGAAACUGUGGGUAAGUCAGGAUAGAGGUUUUGCGUUGGAAAGCGCCUACCUUGAAAGCCUCGGCACCCAAGGAUGAGGCUGCGGCUGAUUAGCUUGUUGGUGGGGUAACUGCCUACCAAGGCGAUGAUCAGUACGGGCUCUUAGCGGAGUUGCCCGGAGAAGGAAUCUGAGACACUAUUCCUAGCUCUACGGAGUGCAGCAGCAGCGAAUCAUUUACAAUGCACGCAAGUGUGAUAAUGCGAGCCAAAGUGCCAUUCGUUUAGAAUGGCUUUUCUUCACUGUAAAAACGUGGAGGAAUAAGGACUGGGAAAGACUGGUGCCAGCCGCCGCGGUAAUACCAGCAGUUCAAGUCGCAUCCACUUUUAUUGGGUCUAAAACAUCCGUAGCUUGUCUUUUAAGUCUCUUGUGAAAUCCUAUGUCUUAAGCAUAGGGCUUGCGAGAGAUACUGGAAGGCUAGAGAUCGGUAGACGUAAGGAGUACGCUGGAGGUAACGGUUAAAUGUGUCAAUCUUCGGUGGACUAACAAUGAGCGAAGGCACCUUACGAGGACGAAUCUGACAGUGAGGGAUGAAGGCCAGGGGCGCAAAACGGAUUAGAUACCCGUGUAGUCCUGGCAGUAAACACUGCUCACUAAACAUCGGGCCCUCUUCGGGAGGAUUCGGUGCUGAAGCGAAGGCGAAGAGUGAGCUACCUGGGAAGUAUAGUCGCAAGAUCGAAACUUAAAGGAAUUGGCGGGGGAG